GACGAACGCUGGCGGCGUGCUUAACACAUGCAAGUCGAACGGAAAGGCCCUGCUUUUGUGGGUUGCUCGAGUGGCGAACGGGUGAGUAACACGUGAGUAACCUGCCCUUGACUUUGGGAUAACUUCAGGAAACUGGGGCUAAUACCGGAUAGGAGCUCCUGCUGCAUGUUGGGGGUUGGAAAGUUUCGGCGGUUGGGGAUGGACUCGCGGCUUAUCAGCUUGUUGGUGGGGUAGUGGCUUACCAAGGUUUUGACGGGUAGCCGGCCUGAGAGGGUGACCGGCCACAUUGGGACUGAGAUACGGCACAGACACCUAAGGGAGGCAGAAGUGGGGAAUAUUGAAGAAUGGGCGGAAGCCUGAUGCAGCAACGCCGCGUGCGGGAUGACGGCCUUAGGGUUGUAAACCGCUUUCGCCUGUGACGAAGCGUGAGUGACGGUAAUGGGUAAAGAAGCACAGGCUAAAUAUGUG
rnacentral:rRNA from 1 species